rnacentral:rRNA from 1 species
AACGAACGCUGGCGGCAUGCCUAACACAUGCAAGUCGAACGAGACCUUCGGGUCUAGUGGCGCACGGGUGCGUAACGCGUGGGAACCUGCCCUUAGGUUCGGAAUAACUCCCCGAAAGGGGUGCUAAUACCGGAUAAUUUCUUCGGACCAAAGAUUCAUCGCCUUUGGAUGGGCCCGCGUUGGAUUGGCUAGUUGGUAGGGUAAAAGCCUACCAAGGCGACGAUCCAUAGCUGGUCUGAGAGGAUGAUCAGCCACACUGGGACUGAGACACGGCCCAGACUCCUACGGGAGGCAGCAGUGGGGAAUAUUGGACAAUGGGCGAAAGGCUGAUCCAGCAAUGCCGCGUGAGUGAUGAAGGCCUUAGGGUUGUAAAGCUCUUUUACCCGGGAUGAUAAUGACAGUACCGGGAGAAUAAGCUCCGGCUAACUCCGUG